CCAAUGUUUUUCUUGGAACUGGCUGAUUAUUCAAAUCUCUGUACAUUCAUUAUCAGCUUCUUAUUCCUUAGAAAUUCAUUGCAAGAUUUGAUAUAAAGCAAGAGAGAGACAAGAAAGAGGAAGAGGAGAGAGAGAGAGGGAGAGGCAUCUGAGAGGAUUGCCAUCUAGGUGUCUUUUAAACUGAGUAACAGGAAUUCAAUCUGGUGUCAUACUGCAUAUCACUCACACUAUGUGAAACAUUUCACUUCUGUGAAAAACAGAAGAGGGUAUCCUGUCUCAGUGGAUAGAACAGAUUUGACCAGCUGUGCUUUCUGCACACAUCUGGGGGAAGACACAGAGCCACAGGAACUUCUGAAGUGUUGAUGUCACCUGAAAAGCAGAAGACUGAAGGAUGCUGGGACUCUGCAGGGAGUUUAAGAUCAAAAGUGCAUCACUUCUGUAUUAAUAUGAAGAUCCCAUUUCUGUCCUGGGUCAGCACAAAACACGUGAUCUUCAGCUGAAGAUUUUCACUGGAGUCAGGGACCCCUAACUGCUAAUCUGACCCCUCCAGCAGAGACAAAGGAGAAAGAACAACUUGGGAUGCCUUUCCUCAUAAGGAAUUUCAUUUGUGCAUCAUAGGAGAUUAUAACAUUCCUGCAGUUAGUUCGAUGAUACCAAAUAUUUUAUCAGAUAUUCAUUAUAAAAAAUAGCUGAGUAACAACUUCAGAGUAGUUGUUGUUCAGGGCAUUUAUUCAAGACUGGAUACCCAAAAUGAUCUAAUGAAAAUAGAAUUAGAGACAAAACACCCUGGUUAGAAACAUCCUAUGGCUUGAUGAUCAGAACACCAUUCCUGAGGACAUAUGAUAAACUUUAUUUUCUACAUAAAAAGGAGGAAAAGGUGUUGCCCUUCAUGUACUCCACUAACCACAGAUGGAGUGCUUGGCAGCAGAUAGAUAAAACACUGGAGCUGCUGGCAGCAACCGCAGCACGAAUUUGGGGAUUCUAAAUACGAUCCUAACAUACUUUCUUCCAGCUAGAAUUAUGACCUAAAGUUAACUCAGCUUCAUUAUUUUAGCUCAGCUUUUCAUAUCCAUAAAAACUCCAGUUGCAAGCUAAACCUGGAAAGAAAAAAGAGGACUAAAAAGGAGACAGGUAGAAUUGGUAUCUCAUACAGCUUUUGGUAUUGUUCUGGUGAACAAUGCGAUCAUUCUCAUUCACUUUAUUUUUGCCAAUAUUUCCCUCAACAGGCUUAACAAUUGCAAAGGGAAUAGGUUUCUUGGGGACGUUGUGGAGUCUCCCUCCUCAGAGAUCCUAAAAAGCUGUCAGGAUACCACAGCAAUUGACUGUGGUCUCACUGAAUUAGGGAGUACCUUGAUGAGCUGUUGAGGGGUCCUUCCUAUACUGGGUGAAUUAGAGGCUUGAAUCAGAUGACCUCUGGAGAUGAUACGUACACAGCCCUGAGUUUAAUGACCAUGAGGCCAAAGGGAAAAGCAAGUAAAUAAAUGUCCACCUUUCAAAUAAAACAAGACAAGAACAAGCCAAAUUGCAAACUCAAUCAAAAACCAUUGCAAACCAUCAAAAACCAUGCCGAGGCAAUCUCCUUUCUUCCUCAAACAGCCCAAUUGUCCCCUGAGCAAAAGAAAGCACAUGUAUUGGGUUUGUCCAGAAAAGCUCUUGAUAAAGUUCACAUGACAUUACACACAAAUACAGAAGCAUGAGCCAGAAGAAAACAGUACUGGGUAAUGCCAGUUGUCAUUACUAGCACACUGUCAACACAGCUGCCUUGAGCAUAGUUUCGCAUAUGGUUUUUAAAACUUUACUCCACCAUUACUCAGAUUAUGAGGGGGAAAAAUUGGGGAAAACCCCAUAUAUGUUUAUUAGACAUAAACCAAAAUUAAAGAGAGAAUAAGCAUGCUGGAGAACAGUAUCUGAAAAUAAAGUUAUAAAUUUCAAAUCAAGGUCUGAAAGAUGCUACUUAGUUCUAUGAGUCUAUCACCCUUGUAAACUCAUCAUUUCUUACAAGUAGAAGAGUUUCAUGUGAUUAGAUAGAGAUAUAUUUAUUUGCAUAAAUUUGUGUGUAUAUAGAUACCCAUAUGUGUAUAUGUGCACAUAUGUUUAUGUGCAUAAAUACAUAUUUAUAUGCUGUGUUUAUUUGUGUAUGUGUAACAUCAGCCAAGGCAGAUGAAAAAUAAUGUCAUGGACAAGAUGACAGAAAUUAUCCCAUUCCAUGGGAUCUUCUGAACAGGAGUCAAAUCAAGACUUCAGGAAGUUUUGACAAUCUGCAAAGUCCCUUAAUUGAGUUAUUAGCAGUGUCUCACUGGAAGGGGGAAAAGCUAUGAUAUAUCUGGUAGGCAUUUGACCUUUCUGCUGAACAGAUCAUUACUAUCAAGUAAGAUUAAGAGUGGUUUCCUGUUCUAGUCUGACUUGAAGCUUAACCACACUGGGGAAGAUCAUAUGCUACAGGAAUUGAUUUACUGUUGGAAACAAAAACAUACUGGAAACAGUAAUGUAGAAUAAAAUUAAAUCCCCCAGCCCUCCACCCAAAACUAAAGAAUAGAAAGAAACACUUGUGAACAUGCCUGCAGAAUUUUCAUAGCCUUAAACUAAUUAAAUAAAACACAUUUUUCAAUCAGUAUACUGAAACAGUUUGUCAUCUACAUCCACAGAUAAUUUAAAAUAAUUCUUCCUAAUUUUUAUUCUAAUGAAAAUCUUGGCCCAGAAAUCCUCCCAUACCACUGUUUUGCAACAAGUAUGUAGACAUUCCCUAGACAUAAGCUCUGACAGGGGAAAAAAACCCAAGCAUCAAAAACAAAUUCAAAAAAUCAGGGAAUCAACCAAAGUAUUGCUAAGCCAAAACAUAGUAUGUAUUCCUCAAUUAUUGUUUCUAGUCUGUGAAAUUUUCUUUAUUGAUAUUUCCCAUUGCUUUGGAAUUAUCAAUUACCUUCUUCAAUAGAGAAAAUCUGUGCAUUUCCAAAUGUCAGCAAUGAGCAGCAGCAGAUGUAUGGAAAAACAAGGCAAGUUUACUGAUUAAUGCUGAUUUGUACUUCAUGUUACAGUCACUGCAAGUAAUCUAACCAAGAAAAUAGAGAGGUUAUCCAGAAUGACAGAGUUAAAUUACUGAAAAAGAUUUUGCCAGUUUACACAUGUAAAUCAUAUUUAGAUGGUGAUACCAGUAAAAGGAAGUGAAGUAACAGGUCAUGAUAGCACAGAGCUUGAGGGACAGUGGGGGUGGUUACUGGAGAGAUUGAUCCUUGUCCAGAGUUCUCAGUUUUAUACUCUGAAAAGUAAAUAAGCAAGUUGUGAGAUUCAUUUUGAAAGUGUUUCAACUGCUUCAGUUUUACUCAGUAAUUUGUACUGCCCUGAGUUAUGAAAUCUAUGAAAUAGUUUUUUAAGGCUGAUUCAUCCACAAAUCAAUCCUAAAAACACCAAAUGACAUACACAGACUGGUUGUACCACCUGCAGCAUCUGAUAGGCUUCCUUAGGCUGUCUGUAAACAUGACAUCCCUUCCUUAAACAAAUCCAGGUGUUACAUCACAGAAGCAAGGCACUUGAUUAUUCUUGUUUUUCUUUGGGUAAUCAGUGCCUGCUGAGAAGUCAGGUCAAUUGGACAAACACUGCAAUUUUUUCAUGUUACUGAAUGUUCUUGGAUUCCUUUCCUAUACAAUAAACAGGUCAUAUUAUCUUCCUUGACUCUUAGCAUCUAGAUAUCCCAUUCGCCCAGGAUGGCAAUCAUCUCUUACAUACACGAAAAUGGUUAAAAUCUUUUUCAAUAUUCAAAAUGUCGAGUCCUAACUUUUACCUUAGUAAGACAGCUAUCAUAGGGACUAAAUGGUUUGGCGAUACCUGGAAUGCUUACUGCAUAGAAAUGCACUCAGCCUUUCAGGAAGAAGAAGCUAUGGCAGGAAUGUAAGAGAAAACUUCAAACAAGAUGGUGUUAUUGUGCUUGAGAGGGAAUGUCAGUAUGGCCUUGCUAACUUCGCUUAGUCACUGCAGAACAUGCUGCUGAGAGGAGCACUCGCAGUGGGGGCUGCUGAUAGGUAAAAAAAUGUAGAGGGGGAUUAAGUAUUUUCACAGAAGUAUAGAAACAUAGUGAAUUAGCCAAACACUUAAGACAGCUGUUGCAAAUGUCUGUCCUCUGGGAAGAAGUUUUUUCAACAAUACCUAAAGUACAAGACUGUUACACAAGAUGAAAACCAGAGUGCUCAGAAUUGCUUACCAGCUGCUGGUGCACCAUAUUUAUGAGUACAUAUGAGGCACAACUGAAACAGAUAAAAACCAUCAUGGUCAAGCAUUGAAGACUUCUAGUAAUUUGUAUAAUUCUUUCUGCAAAGUCAAUGUGAAAAUUAUUUAUUAAUAGUGUAAUUAAUAGUGUAAUUGUAAUUAACGUUACUUGUUAAAUAGGUAAUAUCAGAUAAUACCAGCAAGUUAAAGAGUUUCAUGAAGCAAGUAUUGAUAUGAAAGACAUCCAUAAAUUAUAAAAGAAUUCUAGCAAAAAUAAAUGGAAAUGAAAGACUAAUGAUAAGUCAAAGCCUACUUCUUAUUCCAGAAAUUUGCAACCUGAAAACCAG